AGAUGGCGCCGAAAGCGAAGAAGGAAGCUCCUGCCCCUCCUAAAGCCGAAGCCAAAGAGAAUGCUUUAAAGGCCAAGAAGGCAGUGUUGAAAGGUGUCCACAGCCACAAAAAAAAAGAAGAUCCGCACAUCACCCACCUUCCGGCGGUCCAAGACCCUGCGACUCCAGAGACAGCCCAAAUAUCCUCGGAAGAGCGCCCCCAGGAGAAACAAGCUUGACCACUAUGCUAUCAUCAAGUUUACGCUGACCACUGAGUCGCCAUGAAGAAGAUGGAAGACAACAACACACUUGUGUUCAUUGUGGAUGUUAAAGUCAACAAGCACCAGAUUAAACAGGCUGUGAAGAAGCUCUAUGACAAUGAUGUGGCCAAGGGCAACACCCUGAUUCGGCCUGAUGGAGAGAAGAAGGUAUAUGUUCGACUGGCUCCUGAUUAUGAUGCUUUGGAUGUUGCCAACAAAAUUGGGAU
rnacentral:lncRNA from 1 species